rnacentral:misc_RNA from 1 species
UGCCUGCGGAAGACAUUUUCCAGGAAAAUAUUUUCCUUGUUUCCCAUUGUUUGAAGCAGCUAUAAUACAUUAUAUGCAGCUAUUUUUGUGGCCAAUUGAAGGGCAAGCAUCAAAAAGGAUUAUAGAAAAACAUAAAAUUCAGAUUCUGACCCGUUAAAUUUUCAGCCGCACCACCAAACCUGGUUCCAUCCUUUCUAGAUCAAUAUGAAUAACAGUAAGUUCAAGAACAUGGUAACAGUUUUGAAAUAUCAAUCCAAAUUGACAAUGAAAACUUCGCUGUCAGAGGAAGUAUCAUCGUCCCUAAAAGCAGAAAUCAUCUGUUGCUGGAAUGCUAUGAAUGAAAAUCUGGAAUGUAUCCAAUGAGUUUCUUGAUCUAUCUAUACCUUCAAGAUAUUGGAUGCCGCCUCCUUUUGGGUCGGCUUCGGUCUUCCUCAUAGUCCAUCACUCCACCAGGCUCAGAGUAGAUCUCCUCGUGCCCUCUGAAGUCAAUGUCGGCCUCCUUACAGUGUGUAACUUCUUGAGGGAGAGGGAAUUCUUUAGAGGGACUUCUUUACAUCUUCAACCCUAUCUUCCACAUCCUUUCGGUGCUUCUUGUCCAAUUCACUCAUAGUAUCAGCCCAUUUUAUCUUCUCUUGAAUCGAUACAAGUAGAUUCUCCGAUGUAGCCAACCAGUUUGAUAGUGUUUGUAACAUAUUCCCAAGUUGUCCAGGUCUCAGAUCCCUCCCAGCUGCAAA